UACGUAGGGUGCGAGCGUUGUCCGGAAUUAUUGGGCGUAAAGAGCUCGUAGGCGGUCUGUCGCGUCGGCUGUGAAAUCCCGAGGCUCAACCUCGGGUCUGCAGUCGAUACGGGCAAACUAGAGUAUUGCAGGGGAGACUGGAAUUCCUGGUGUAGCGGUGAAAUGCGCAGAUAUCAGGAGGAACACCGGUGGCGAAGGCGGGUCUCUGGGCAAUAACUGACGCUGAGGAGCGAAAGCGUGGGGAGCGAAUAGG
rnacentral:rRNA from 1 species